rnacentral:rRNA from 1 species
UGGUCAAGUUAUUAAGGGUGCAGGGCGGAUGCCUUGGCACUAGGAGCCGAUGAAGGACGUGAUAAGCUGCGAUAAGCUUCGGGGAGUUGCACGUAAACUUUGAUCCGAAGAUUUCCGAAUGAGGAAACUCACUUAGAGUAAUGUCUAAGUAUCAUUAAGUGAAUACAUAGCUUAAUGAGGGGAACUCAGGGAACUGAAACAUCUAAGUACCUGAAGGAAGAGAAAGAAAUUCGAUUCCGUAAGUAGCGGCGAGCGAACGCGGAUUAGCCCAAACCAAUAAAGUUUUCUUUAUUGGGGUUGCGGACAUAUCAUAACGAAGAGGUAUCGUAAUUGAAGAGGUUUGGAAAGACCCACCACAGAAGGUAAUAGUCCUGUAUGUUAAACGAGAAGACUUCAGAUAUGAUCCAGAGUACCACGGGACACGUGAAACCCUGUGGGAAGCAGGAGGGACCACCCUCCAAGGCUAAAUACUACCUAGUGACCGAUAGCGUAUAGUACCGUGAGGGAAAGGUGAAAAGAACCCCGGGAGGGGAGUGAAAUAGAACCUGAAACCCUGCACUUACAAGCUGUGGAAGCACAUUUCUUGUGUGACCGCGUACUUUUUGUAGAACGGGCCAACGAGUUACGUUAAGUAGCAAGGUUAAGCACUUAAGGUGCGGAGCCGUAGCGAAAGCGAGUUUUAACUGAGCGUUCAGUUACUUGACGUAGACCCGAAACCGGGCGACCUACCCAUGAGCAGGAUGAAGCGAAAGUAAAAUUUCGUGGAGGUCCGAACCCACGAGCGUUGAAAAGCUCGGGGAUGACUUGUGGGUAGCGGUGAAAUUCCAAUCGAGCCCGGAGAUAGCUGGUUCUCCCGAAAUAGCUUUAGGGCUAGCCUCAAGGUGAGAGAUACGGAGGUAGAGCACUGAAUGUCCUAGGGGGUAUUGCACCUACCGAAGACUAUCAAACUCCGAAUGCCGUCAUCUUAUACUUGGGAGUCAGACUGUGGGUGAUAAGAUUCAUAGUCGAAAGGGCAACAGCCCAGAUCGUCAGCUAAGGUCCCUAAAUGUAAGUUAAGUGGUAAAGGAUGUGGGAUUGCACAGACAACCAGGAUGUUGGCUUAGAAGCAGCCACUCAUUCAAAGAGUGCGUAAUAGCUCACUGGUCGAGUGAUCCUGCGCCGAAGAUUUCCGGGGCUAAAACUUACUACCGAAGCUACGGCAUCAGUAAUGAUGGGUAGGGGAGCUUCCCAUACGGGUUGAAGCAUGACCGUAAGGACAUGUGGACAGUAUGGGAGUGAGAAUGUUGGCAUGAGUAGCGAGAUGUGGGUGAGAAUCCCACAGGCCGUAAACCCAAGGUUUCCAGGGGAAGGUUCGUCCGCCCUGGGUUAGUCGGGACCUAAGCUGAGGCCGAAAGGCGUAGGUGAUGGACAACAGGUUGAUAUUCCUGUACUACCGAUAACCGUUUGAGAGAAGGGAUGACACAGUAGGAUAAGCUAAGCACACUGUUGGUUAUGUGUGCCCAAGCAUUGAGGCAGUCAAAGUAGGCAAAUCCGCUUUGAUAAUGCUGGGAUGUGAUGGGGAGCGAAAUUUAGUAGCGAAGUAGCUGAUUUCACACUGUCAAGAAAAGUCUCUAUCGAGGUUAAAGGUACCCGUACCGCAAACCGACACAGGUGGGUGAGGAGAGUAUCCUAAGGCCAGCGAGAGAACUGUUGUUAAGGAACUCGGCAAAAUGACCCCGUAACUUAGGGAUAAGGGGUGCCACCAUCAGGUGGCCGCAGAGAAUAGGCCCAAGCGACUGUUUACCAAAAACAUAGGUUUCUGCUAAGUCGCAAGACGAUGUAUAGGAGCUGACGCCUGCCCGGUGCUGGAAGGUUAAGGGGAUCUGUUAGAGCAAUCGAAGCAGUGAACUUAAGCCCCAGUAAACGGCGGCCGUAACUAUAACGGUCCUAAGGUAGCGAAAUUCCUUGUCGGGUAAGUUCCGACCCGCACGAAAGGCGUAACGAUUUGGGCACUGUCUCAACAACAGACUCGGUGAAAUUGUAAUUCCGGUGAAGAUGCCGGAUACCUGCGACAGGACGGAAAGACCCCAUGGAGCUUUACUGUAGCUUGACAUUGGGUCUUGGUACUACAUGUACAGGAUAGGUGGGAGGCUUUGAAACCAGGACGCCAGUUUUGGCGGAGCCAUCCUUGGGAUACCACCCUUGUAGUACUGGGACUCUAACCAUAGGCCAUGAAUCUGGUCUUGGGACACUGUCAGGUGGGCAGUUUGACUGGGGCGGUCGCCUCCCAAAAGGUAACGGAGGCGCUCAAAGGUUCUCUCAGUACGGUCGGAAAUCGUACGUAGAGUGUAAAGGCAAAAGAGAGCUUGAUUGCAAGACAUACAGGUCGAGCAAGGAUGAAAAUCGGACUUAGUGAUCCGGUGGUUCUGCGUGGAAGGGCCAUCGCUCAACGGAUAAAAGCUACCCUGGGGAUAACAGGCUUAUCUCCCCCAAGAGUCCACAUCGACGGGGAGGUUUGGCACCUCGAUGUCGGCUCAUCACAUCCUGGGGCUGUAGUAGGUCCCAAGGGUUGGGCUGUUCGCCCAUUAAAGUGGUACGCGAGCUGGGUUCAGAACGUCGUGAGACAGUUCGGUCCCUAUCCGUCGCAGGCGUAGGAAAUUUGAGAAGACCUGUCCUUAGUACGAGAGGACCGGGAUGGACGUACCUCUGGUGUACCAGUUGUCCUGCCAAGGGCAUGGCUGGGUAGCUAUGUACGGAAUGGAUAAGCGCUGAAAGCAUCUAAGCGCGAAGCCAACUUCAAGAUAAGAUUUCCCACCGCAAGGGUAAGACCCCAGAAAGACUAUCUGGUUGAUAGGUCGAAGGUGUAAGUGCAGCAAUGUAUUUAGCUUAUCGAUACUAAUAGGUCGAGGACUUGACCAAU